UACGAGGUGGACAAACGUUAUUCGGAUUUACUGGGCUUAAAGCGUGCGUAGGCGGCUCAGAAAGUUGGGUGUGAAAGCCCUCGGCUCAACCGAGGAAUUGCGCUCAAAACUACUGAACUUGAGUGAGAUAGGGGAGAGCGGAACUGAUGGUGGAGCGGUGAAAUGCGUUGAUAUCAUCAGGAACACCGGUGGCGAAGGCGGCUCUCUGGAUCUUUACUGACGCUGAGGCACGAAAGCUAGGGGAGCAAACGGG
rnacentral:rRNA from 1 species